AGGGAAAACCAGGUUAUAAAGGAGAGCAGGGUGAGAGGGGUGAGUGCGGCACUCCAGGAAUCAAAGGAGACAGGGGUCCUGAGGGUUCAGUUGGAGCAAGAGGACUUAGAGGUUUACAGGGGUUACCAGGACCACAUGGAGACAUUGGACCAGAGGGCCAUCAGGGAAAGCAGGGUGAACGUGGCC